ensembl:lncRNA
UAAAAAGGGGACGGGGCUGUCCCGCCCUGUUUUCCUGUUUCAAUUAAAAUGACGUCAACACAUAGAAUAACGCUGCUACGCACCUUAAAAACCCGCCAAUAAACCCAGAGAAGAAGAAGAAGAACGCUGCGUGUGUCAAAGCAUUUUAGGGGACCUUUAAGGUUUAUAACAUCAUUAAUCAAUCCAAAUCCUAUUACUCUUCUAACCCUCGCGUUCCUGGACAUGAUGCUGAGUGCUGUGCUGUGACGCAUCUCCAACACUAGAGAGCAGAACUGCAACAGCUCUUUGACAGCUAUUUGACUUGCUGAAAUGGGGUCCUACAGGACCAAAGCCUGCUCAUGUAACAGUCUCUCCCGUAGCACCACAACUGAAUACCUGUAGAAUGUAGUUUCCUGGUUUAACAUUUGUGAUGUCAAUCCACUGGCAGUCGAUAUCAUGUCUGUACAAGUCCUAGCAGCCCACUGUGAUGCCCUGCUCACCACAAGUUGGGGCACUUGUAAUGUUUCGAAACACCUGCAACAAGUUAUAUGGAAGCCCACCUUGGCCCAUUCGUGCUCCGGUCAGAGCCCCUUUAUCAGUGCCGAAGUCCAGCUCUCUACACACCAAACUGGAGGACGGCAGGUUCCAGCGAUCGUCACAGACAAACACAUACUCACUCCCCUUCAGGACCUUCACACGACCCUCACCUGUCUUUGCCCCACCCUUCAGACGCACCUGAGACUGGAGAAUGAGAAGGAGCAUGGCCACCGGAAGCCAUAAUUUACAGGUUCAUACUUGGCACUGUGCGACCAGCUUAGUGCCUCCAUAAACCCUAGAUGGCGUCAGAGAACAUGAGUGUUGGCCAAGGUGAAGUCGUCAUCACAUUACAUCUCUUCUUUGUAAAACACUUCCACUCUCCCUUCGUUGUGCUUGCUAUCCCACAAUCCUCCUCUCAGCAUGGCUUGAAAGUGUGAGAGAAGAAGAGAGCAAGAUAAACUGUAAAAGAGAGUGUGAAUAUAUGUUAAUGUAUAUAAAUUAAUUUGCAGGGUUAAAAUGUGCAUGUAAUUACACUAAAAUAAAGCAAAUAUCGCUUAAAUCUUCA